ACGAUUCCAGCCAUCCUUGUAUCCCAAGGAAGACGAACUUGGGGGCAGGCGCUCUGCACACUGCAGCAGGUCUGUCCUCUCUACAAUAAGAUAAUAGCAACUCGUCUGACCUACAACAUUGAAGCCCUCAGCUCGCUCCCUGAAGGGAGCCUGUGCAGGUUUGGCGCCAAAUUAAUCUCUUCUGACCUGUGAAUUCUAGACAACCCUGCUCCAGCUGCAGAGCUGUACUGGUACCGCUUGUGGCUGUAGGAGUUGGGCAGAUGUGGGAAGCUGCACGCUGAAGGAAGUCACCUGUCACUCUGCCAUCCUGUGGGAGAGGUUCUGCUUGCUGGAUUCAUCACUCAUGGAACUCCGUCGUCCUUUUAACUUUGUGAGGAGAAACGUCACAACAAUAACACCCAAUCCCCAGAUAUCGCUGCCUUGAUCAGGGCACCAGACAUGCAAUGGUGUCGAUCCGCGUGAGCUCCAGGUCACUACAUCUAGGAAUUCUCCUGUUUGAUCCUGGCAGCCUCCCCUUUUCCCCAUCCUACCUCGUUGACCUUUCUGGAAGUGGGCUCUAUUUGAGAAGCCAUAGUCCGCCCGCUUUUUGCGAUGCUUCUGUGUACUUCUUCCCUCUCGUGAGAGCCAAACUCCUUCCUUCAGGGUUGGGACUCAGUGCUCAAGAUCUGUAAUUGCACACCCCAGCACUCAGGGUAGGUCCCAAGAGAAAUGCUUGCAAUAGCUCCUGAGGACAGGCCUGAAGCACCACCUGUUUGUAGUUCAUGUGUUGUCACUCAUCUGGUAGCUCACCUUACUGGUAUGAGGUCACAUCCACACCUGCAGCCUCUCCACCUUGCCUGGAUCUUCCUUCAGCUUUCUCAACUCCCACAUGAGGUGUGAAGAUAUGGAACUCGACAAUGAAGCUGCCUUCUACCUUCUGUAGGCCAUCCAUGUCAUCAAGAUCAGAAGCAAUUGGGACUGAUGAGUUUCACAUCUUCCUGAAGGUGGUCUUGACAACUUAUGUAAACAAUUUCGGUCUUAUCAAGUGACCCAGGGUGAAACUGAAGCAGAGGCAAGGACUAGCUGGUUGAUUUUUAAUCGAGUGGAACUGGUUGAGACUCAAUAUGUUGUCUUCAUGCUUGGCAAGAUGGCACUUAAAUAAUCCUGACUCUCAAAAGUCUGAGGCAGGAAAGUUGAAAGUUCAAGGUCAACCUGGUCUACAGAGUCUCACCUUUCCUAAUGCUGCAACCCUUUAAUACAGUGCCUUUUGUUGUGAUGAUCCCCAACCAUAAAAUUAUUUAACUGCUACUUCAUAACGGCAACUUUGCUACUAAUUAUGGGCCAUAACCAAUUAAAUCCCAACAAAGAAACACCAGUCUUGGUUUGACAUGGAGGUCACAGUACAGCAGAUUUUUGUCAGUGGCUUUUCCCACCUGGCAUUCUUCGCACUAUCAACUUUUCAAGCGGACUUCAGACCUCACACACAUUUCCUGAAGUUGGUGCCCCUUUCCUUAGCGACAGCAAGUGAUGACCUCUUCGGAGCCAGAGAAAUAAGCAGCCAGAAGUCUGACAACUGAACACGUGUGCAAGUUCAUUUGUGUUCCCUGAAUCAUCUGCACUCCAGACACAACUGAAUUUAGGAGCAUCUAGUUUCUAAAGAAAGCUAACACACCUGCUCCAUGCUGCAAAAAUCACAUGAGUUUGGAAUGAGCCUAGUACAUAUUACAGUUAGAAAUGCUAAAUUUGGGGGGCUGAGGAAUGUUUUGGGGGUUAAAGUCACUUCUUUUCUUCCAGAGUAUCAGGGUUUGAUUCCCAGCACCAACAUGGUAGCACACAGCAGCCUAAGACUCCAGUUCUAACACCUCCCGGGGCUCCUUCAGGGAGGGGUACUGAUAUAUAAAACAGGGGAUACAUGCACACAUAAAAGAAAAUAAAGUAUUUACAAUGUUUAAUUUGUAAUACCAAUUGUGCCCUUAUGUAUAUUUUCCUAAGCAUAUAGUAUUUUAAAUUUUUGCAUUAGAAAAAUGUUAUUGUUUAGAAUGACGAUGUAGACCUGUACAUUUUUGCGGUAUUAAAAAAAAUGUGUUU